AACCAACAGGGAUUGCCCUAGUAACGGCGAGUGAAGCGGCAACAGCUCAAAUUUGAAAUCUGGAUUCCUUGACUGGGUCCCGAGUUGUAAUUUGCAGAGGGUGCUUUGGCGUGGGCGGCGGUCUAAGUUCCUUGGAACAGGACGUCACAGAGGGUGAGAAUCCCGUACGUGGCUGCACUGCCCGCGCCGUGUAAAGCCCCUUCGACGAGUCGAGUUGUUUGGGAAUGCAGCUCUAAAUGGGAGGUAAAUUUCUUCUAAAGCUAAAUACUGGCCAGAGACCGAUAGCGCACAAGUAGAGUGAUCGAAAGAUGAAAAGCACUUUGGAAAGAGAGUCAAACAGCACGUGAAAUUGUUGAAAGGGAAGCGCUUGCAGCCAGACUUGCCUGCGGUUGCUCAGCCGGGCCUCGUGCCCGGUGCACUCUUCCGCGGGCAGGCCAGCAUCAAUUUGGGCGGCUGGAGAAUGGCCUCUGUCACGUACUACCCUUCGGGGUAGCCUUAUAGGGGAGUCGUCAUGCAGUCAGCCUGGAUUGAGGACCGCGCUUCGGCGAGGAUGCUGGCGUAAUGGCCGCAAGCGGCCCGUCUUGAAACACGGACCAAGGAGUCUAACAUCUAUGCGAGUGUUUGGGUGUCAAGCCCGGGCGCGCAAUGAAAGUGAACGGAGGUGGGAACCCCCUUGGGGCGCACCAUCGACCGAUCCUGAUGUCUUCGGAUGGAUUUGAGUAAGAGCAUAGCUGUUGGGACCCGAAAGAUGGUGAACUAUGCUUGAAUAGGGUGAAGCCAGAGGAAACUCUGGUGGAAGCUCGCAGCGGUUCUGACGUGCAAAUCGAUCGUCAAAUUUGGGCAUAGGGGCGAAAGACUAAUCGAACUAUCUAGUAGCUGGUUCCUGCCGAAGUUUCCCUCAGGAUAGCAGUAACGUAUUCAGUUUUAUGAGGUAAAGCGAAUGAUUAGAGGCCUGGGGGUUGAAACAACCUUCACCUAUUCUCAAACUUUAAA
rnacentral:rRNA from 1 species